rnacentral:rRNA from 1 species
UACGUAGGUGGCAAGCGUUGUCCGGAAUUAUUGGGCGUAAAGCGCACGCAGGCGGUCCUUUAAGUCUGAUGUGAAAGCCCACGGCUCAACCGUGGAGGGUCAUUGGAAACUGGGGGACUUGAGUACAGAAGAGAAGAGUGGAAUUCCACGUGUAGCGGUGAAAUGCGUAGAGAUGUGGAGGAACACCAGUGGCGAAGGCGGCCUUCUGGGUCGACCCUGACGCUGAGGCGCGAAAGCGUGGGGAGCGAACGGG